UUAAACGUCUGUACCACAUGAAUACACCGUUUCUCGGCCGAUCACCAAAGUUAAGCAACAUAGAGCGCGGUCAGUACUAUGAUGGGUGACCGCCUGGGAACAUGUAAUGAAGUUGGUC
rnacentral:rRNA from 1 species